GACGGCCGGUCGUGGCCGAGUCCGGUGUCUGGAACGUGGGUAUUCAUCUUCUCAUUUAAAAUCCUCUUCUGUGCACUUAACCGCUCUCAGUCGGCGGGAAAACGUACUUGACUGUGAAACCGUUCUCGCAACGCCCGCUCGCAGGGUGCCCCUCGGGCUCCCGAAGACGAGCCAGCGCGGAGGUGACGGAGACUGCGCGGCUCCUCUGUGCGCAGGCGCCGGGCCGGCGCGGGACUUGUCUGCCUCGGUUCCUUUUCCUGGACACGGGGCCGGCGACCUUCCUGCCACUACGCUGCAACCAGGCGGCCCACGGUGCGGCCACUUCGGGUUGCUAAAUAUCUAGAUACUUCCGGCCCGCAUUGCCAGGUCCACUAGGCGUCCCCACCGUCCGGUAAUUACCGUCGCGCUGCCUGGCGGCCGAGUCUUCUGCGUGUGGCCCCCCUCACCUCCCGGCCCCGCCGUGGGAUCCGUCAAGCUAGUACUUUCCACGAGCCAAGCCCUUGGGACGGCGCCUGCCACCGGAUAAACACUCGAACUAUUUACAAGAGGUGGACAUCAGCAAUACAGAGAUCAAAUGAGAGAGGCCUCAUCAGAGGGGAGUCGGAGAAAACGGUGGGCACGUUUUCCUUAUAAUCGGCUGAGCGUGGGGAAAAAAAAGUCACGAACAAAGAGAACUCAAAUAAUGCAACCUGGUGGUGUCUGAAAGAAAUGACCAACAUUCUGAUACGUUAUUAACAAGAAGCAAGACGAGGUGGUGACGGACCGCGGGCCGUACGUUCCCGUCGGGUAUUCUGCAUGCUACUAAACAGAAUUUAUCAAAAGAACCAUAAAAGCAUGAGAGAGAGAAGUACAUAAAAUAGCUGGAUCCCAGUGAGGUGUAACUUUGCACAGAGGGCAGUCCUACACGUUUGCGGAGAGGAAGGUGGCAACAAGUGUUACCGGUGACAACGCAGACGGUGCACGCGACGAAGACAAACGAGGAUGGGGGAGAGGAGUUAUGUGCAAAGUGCUCUUGUUCCCAAGCGACAUUCACCUGCUCGGGCUUCGUGGAACUUAAGGGUCCUGUUUAUCAUACUUGUGUUUUGAUUUUGAAAGUUAAACUAAAGCCUUCAGCGUGGCGAUGCUGCCGUGAGCAAAACGCUGUGUCAGCUCGUGUGUCAACAGUUACGCGGUGUCUUCGGGGAAGAACGCUGUCCGAUCUGAGCGUCUCCAGCAUACGCAAAAUCUCUUACUGAAACUAUCUCCAUAACGUGGUGAGACGGCCACACUACAGGUCUGUGGUGCGUAUCUGCCGGAAGUGCCAGAAAUAAGUUGGUUUGAUUGACUAACACAAGUAUCAUAAACAGUUUUAUUUUUCGUUACAUGUACAAUAUGUAAACAUGGCUUAUCUGCAUUUCACGGUGGGAUGUCGCCUGUGUGAGAAGUGAAAAUAUUGCACUGAGUCAUGGUGGCAGGUGACACUGCCUGGGGGCCGGCGGCAGGCCCUGGCUGCGUGUCACAUGACCUUCUUUGGGACUCGGUGGACCGGACAGGGGUUCGUACGCACCCCCCACUGCGAAUCGGUGGCCACUGUCACGUUUAGCUACAGGUUAAUCUCACCUAGGGGUGGUUCAGGCCAAACUUUUGGGGGAUUUUAAGAUAAAAAUGAGUAUACAAAACAUAAAAAAAAAAAUCCAAAUUCAGUGAACACUUUCAUUCAAGUCAGGGUCAGAGAAGCUGGGAUCUAGAAUAGUUGUCUAAUCUUAGGAUUUGUCAUUAGACGUUUUGUACAAGCUUCAGGAAAUGAGGUAAAAUGCAUCAGCGGCCAGUAGAUUUACAUGUGUUAGCAGGUCUGGGCGCAUAUGUGCAUUUUACAUUUCCUCUCCCUAAGGGGUCUACACUGACUUUGCUUUUCUGUGACUAUUUCUAAAGAGCAGUUCAUCUUAAAUAAUACAUCAUUUUUAAAGUCUAAAAUGCCAAUACUUGCAAAUACAUUUGUUUGUAACAUAGUAUAGUGAGUAUAGGAAGAAGUGUCGUUACUGUAUACUACUCAGGAUUUAAAUAUUUAUUUAGGUAGAAAAAAUGCUUUGAAUACUCUGGGGAAAUAGGAUUCAUUUAUAGAAGAAUAUUUCAGGGAAUUUUUUUUUUUUUGCAUUUUUCAAGGAUAUACAUUCGUACUGAUUUUUGCUUCCAAAUAUAUUUUAAGGCUGUUUGGUAAAAUAUACCAGAUAUGAGGCUCAAUUUACAGGGUUUUGUUCUUACAGGGAAUUCUUAACUACUCAGCUUUAAAAAAGUAAGACUUGGAAGGCCAACAUGCUUUAGUAUCAACUGUGCUCCAGUGAACCCCAUGCUUGGUUGGAUGGAGAGUAUGAGGAAAAGAAAACACUGCAGGCUGGAGCAGCACCCCCGGGGGAUGACCUCACUGGAUGUCCUGCUGGUGUCACCAGGCUGCAGGGGGACCUGGGGCAUGACAGUGCCCGUCAAGCUGAGGAAACAAAGUGCCAGAGGAGGUAAACCAGGGCUGCUCGGCCAGCUGAGUACUCGGUACCUCUCCGGGCAGCGGGAAGGCCCGUGUUUGGGGAGGAAACACCUGUCCCCAGGUGCCAUCCUGUUUUCACCUUGCGUUACAGUGGGGACUCUGAGUUUGGGAUCCGAGGGAGAGAUUUGACGGGCUCUCCUCUGCAGAUGCAUCUGGACAGGGACACAGGAAAGCGAUGCUGGGAUGACGGUCACUGCGUCUAAGCGUGAUUGUACAAGUGGAAAGCCUUUUCAUUCGAAUCCUUCCUGCUUUGCUCUGGUGCCAGUCAGAAUCCUGAAACCUAAUUACUUUUCUCAGAGUCCACAGCUGGAAAUCACCACAUGUGACCUUUUUUUUUUUUUUUUUUUUUUUUUUUUGUCAUGUCUAAAACAGGCAAGAAAUAUAUUCUUGACUUUAGCGAUACUGCAUAGGACAAAAGAAUUCUGGAAAAAUACAAAUGUAAGCUACAUUUCUUCUUUACCAUUUAAGCUGAGAGAUACCACUCACAUUCAUAUUUCUUAAACUUUUUACAUCACAACUGUCAUUUUAAACAAGCAAACUUUUUUUUUAAGGAUACCCUGGAAAGUCAACUGAUAGAGCAGUUUGAGAAUAUAUAUAUACAUCCAUAAAAAAAAAAAUCACAGGUACACAAAUGGGGACACUUACAGACAAGACUGUGUGUGGUAGAAGUUAUGAAGGAAUAAAACAUACGAUGACUCUUUCAUCGGAAUAAGG